rnacentral:rRNA from 1 species
GGCGUGCCUAACACAUGCAAGUCGAGCGAUUCUAUGGGAGUACUUGUACUCACAAAGAAAUAGCGGCGGACGGGUGAGUAACGCGUGGGCAACCUACCCUAAACAAUGGGAUAGCCCUUCGAAAGGAGGAGUAAUACCAUAUAACACAUUUUUAAGGCAUCUUAAAAAUGUCAAAGAUUUAUCGGUUUAGGAUGGGCCCGCGUCUGAUUAGCUAGUUGGUAAGGUAAAGCUUACCAAGGCGACGAUCAGUAGCCGACCUGAGAGGGUGAUCGGCCACACUGGAACUGAGACACGGUCCAGACUCCUACGGGAGGCAGCAGUGGGGAAUAUUGCACAAUGGGGGAAACCCUGAUGCAGCAACGCCGCGUGAGCGACGAAGGCCUUCGGGUCGUAAAGCUCUGUCCUAAGUGAAGAUAAUGACGGUAACUUAGGAGGAAGCCCCGGCUAACUACGUGCCAGCAGCCGCGGUAAUACGUAGGGGGCAAGCGUUAUCCGGAAUCAUUGGGCGUAAAGGGUGAGUAGGCGGCAAUACAAGUCAGAGGUGAAAGGCUACGGCUUAACCGUAGUAAGCCUUUGAAACUGUAUAGCUUGAGUAUGGGAGAGGAGAGUGGAAUUCCUAGCGUAGCGGUGAAAUGCGUAGAUAUUAGGAGGAACACCAGUGGCGAAGGCGACUCUCUGGACCAUAACUGACGCUGAGUCACGAAAGCGUGGGGAGCAAACAGGAUUAGAUACCCUGGUAGUCCACGCCGUAAACGAUGAGUGCUAGGUGUUGGGGGUCAAACCUCAGUGCCGCAGCUAACGCAUUAAGCACUCCGCCUGGGGAGUACGAUCGCAAGGUUGAAACUCAAAGGAAUUGACGGGGACCCGCACAAGCAGCGGAGCAUGUGGUUUAAUUCGAAGCAACGCGAAGAACCUUACCUGGACUUGACAUCCUAUUGAAAGCACCUUAGCCGGUGCCGUCCUUCGGGACAAUAGAGACAGGUGGUGCAUGGUUGUCGUCAGCUCGUGUCGUGAGAUGUUGGGUUAAGUCCCGCAACGAGCGCAACCCUUGCCUUUAGUUACUAACAGAAAAAACUGAGGACUCUAGAGGGACUGCCGGGGAUAACUCGGAGGAAGGUGGGGAUGACGUCAAAUCAUCAUGCCCCUUAUGUUCAGGGCUACACACGUGCUACAAUGGUCGAUACAAAGGGAAGCAACAGAGCAAUCUCAAGCAAAUCCCAUAAAGUCGAUCCCAGUUCGGAUUGCGGGCUGAAACUCGCCCGCAUGAAGUUGGAGUUGCUAGUAAUCGCGAAUCAGAAUGUCGCGGUGAUGCGUUCCCGGUCUUGUACUCACCG